GAUGAACGCUGGCGGCGUGCCUAAUACAUGCAAGUCGAGCGAACGGACGAGAAGCUUGCUUCUCUGAUGUUAGCGGCGGACGGGUGAGUAACACGUGGAUAACCUACCUAUAAGACUGGGAUAACUUCGGGAAACCGGAGCUAAUACCGGAUAAUAUUUUGAACCGCAUGGUUCAAAAGUGAAAGACGGUCUUGCUGUCACUUAUAGAUGGAUCCGCGCUGCAUUAGCUAGUUGGUAAGGUAACGGCUUACCAAGGCAACGAUGCAUAGCCGACCUGAGAGGGUGAUCGGCCAAACUGGAACUGAGACACGGUCCAGACUCCUACGGGAGGCAGCAGUAGGGAAACUUCCGCAAUGGGCGAAAGCCUGACGGGGCAACGCCGCGUGAGUGAUGAAGGUCUUCGGAUCGUAAAACGCUGUUAUUAGGGAAGAACAUAUGUGUAAGUAACUGUGCACAUCUUGACGGUACCUAAGCAGAAAGCCACGGCUAACUACGUG
rnacentral:rRNA from 1 species